AGAAAAGAGAAGGCGAGGUUGGAAGAAAGAAAGUUCUUCAAUACACUCGAUAUGCGUCAGUUGGAUUUGCAAUUGUACAGGCAAUUGGCCAAGUCCUCUUUUUACGUCCUUAUGUGAAUGACUUUAGUACCGACUGAAGCAGACAUGCAGAAAUUGAGUCAUGCGUUAAAAGUACAUUCAGAAACAGAGAAGCAA